rnacentral:rRNA from 1 species
UGCAAGUAGAACGCUGAAGGAGGAGCUUGCUUCUCUGGAUGAGUUGCGAACGGGUGAGUAACGCGUAGGUAACCUGCCUGGUAGCGGGGGAUAACUAUUGGAAACGAUAGCUAAUACCGCAUAAUAGUAGAUGUUGCAUGACAUUUGCUUAAAAGGUGCAAUUGCAUCACUACCAGAUGGACCUGCGUUGUAUUAGCUAGUUGGUGGGGUAACGGCUCACCAAGGCGACGAUACAUAGCCGACCUGAGAGGGUGAUCGGCCACACUGGGACUGAGACACGGCCCAGACUCCGACGGGAGGCAGCAGUAGGGAAUCUUCGGCAAUGGACGGAAGUCUGACCGAGCAACGCCGCGUGAGUGAAGAAGGUUUUCGGAUCGUAAAGCUCUGUUGUAAGAGAAGAACGAGUGUGAGAGUGGAAAGUUCACACUGUGACGGUAUCUUACCAGAAAGGGACGGCUAACUACGUGCCAGCAGCCGCGGUAAUACGUAGGUCCCGAGCGUUGUCCGGAUUUAUUGGGCGUAAAGCGAGCGCAGGCGGUUAGAUAAGUCUGAAGUUAAAGGCUGUGGCUUAACCAUAGUACGCUUUGGAAACUGUUUAACUUGAGUGCAAGAGGGGAGAGUGGAAUUCCAUGUGUAGCGGUGAAAUGCGUAGAUAUAUGGAGGAACACCGGUGGCGAAAGCGGCUCUCUGGCUUGUAACUGACGCUGAGGCUCGAAAGCGUGGGGAGCAAACAGGAUUAGAUACCCUGGUAGUCCACGCCGUAAACGAUGAGUGCUAGGUGUUAGACCCUUUCCGGGGUUUAGUGCCGCAGCUAACGCAUUAAGCACUCCGCCUGGGGAGUACGACCGCAAGGUUGAAACUCAAAGGAAUUGACGGGGGCCCGCACAAC